rnacentral:lncRNA from 1 species
GUGGCUAUGGGGGACUUUUGGUAUAGCAUUGGAAAUGUAAAUGAGCUAAAUACCUAAUAAAAAUGGAAAAAAAAUUAUAACUUACAUGCCUGAGAGAGAUGACUUUUUCCCCAUGAUCUAUCAGUUACAUCUUUUAGAGAAAGUUCUUUGUGGAUAGGCAGUGUAUGUUUUCUUUCUUGGUGUGUCUUGUGGGUAGUGCUUUAGUCAAUUUUGUGCUUCUAAAACAUAGACUGGAUAAGACGAUGAGCUUGUGGCUCCAAAAGCCGGACAGUACAAGAUCAAGGGGCCCCAUCUUGUAAGGGCUGUCAUACUACUCUUAAUACAGCAUGGGGGAGGAGAGAAAAGGCAGGGGAGAAAGAGAAUAAGAGGUGGGGGUGAGAGCACACAAGAGAAAGAGGAUGUGUGACUUUUCCUAGGAGAUGUAAUAAUAUGUUUGCCCCAAGAUGAGUAACCCCCAACAGACCGUUUCCAUCUUGGUAACCACAAGGUUGUUGGGGCUCCCUGUAGGAUCCACACCACAGGGAAUUCCCUCCAGUCAGUUACUCCCUCCGAUGUCGUGGUUAUUAGAAUCUCAGGAAGAUGGGCAUCUCAGGGUUUUCUUCCUUCCUCUGUGACAGAGUGUUAAUAUGCCAGAUAUCCUCAAUGUCUCUUUUGGGUUAUUGUAGCUGCUGUGCUUCAACCCAGAGGAACAACUGCGUGCAUCAGGGCAGAGCCUCUCCUCAUGACCUAGUCACCUCUUAAAGGUCCCACCUCUCAACUCUUGUAUUGGGAAUUAACAUUUAUAAGACAUGGUAUUUCGGGAACAAUGUUCAAACAUAAGGAAUGAAUCACUGGUAGGACUAAGAAGCAAGUGAAACAGUGUAACAAGAUGUUGCUCUUGAGUCCAGCCCUUUGUGGAAAUGUUUCAUUUGAAAGGGUGUUCAGUAACAAGGGACAAUAGCCUUCUAGGCUAGUCUGGAAAGAGGGUAGUCACAAUGAUAGAGAAGGAAAAGGGAAAUUGAAGAAAUAUGAUCAGUUUUGAGGAGAGAAGGGUAACUUCUUUUUUUUGUUUGUUUUGUUUUGUUUUGUUUUCGAGACAGGGUUUCUUGUGUCCCUGACUGUCCUGGAACUCACUUUGUAGACCAGGCUGGCCUCAAACUCAGAAAUCAGGCCUGCCUCUGCCUCCCAAGUGCUGGGAUUAAAGGCGUGCACCACCACUGCCCAGCAUGAGAAGAGUAACUUCUUGUAGUUGAGGUAUGGGAAAUCAUAGAAAAUACUAAGUUACUGAAAGGAACUUUAUGCCUAGAUCAGGCCUUAUAAUG